AGGAAUUUAGGUUAAAUCAGACCAAGGGCCUUCAAAGCCCUAAGCAAGUGCAACUACUUAAUUCCUG
rnacentral:tRNA from 1 species